rnacentral:rRNA from 1 species
GAUGAACGCUGGCGGCGUGCCUAAUACAUGCAAGUCGAGCGAACAGACGAGGAGCUUGCUCCUCUGACGUUAGCGGCGGACGGGUGAGUAACACGUGGAUAACCUACUUAUAAGACUGGGAUAACUUCGGGAAACCGGAGCUAAUACCGGAUAAUAUAUUGAACCGCAUGGUUCAAUAGUGAAAGACGGUUUUGCUGUCACUUAUAGAUGGUUCCGCGCCGCAUUAGCUAGUUGGUAAGGUAACGGCUUACCAAGGCGACGAUGCGUAGCCGACCUGAGAGGAUGAUCAGCCACACUGGAACUGAGACACGGUCCAGACUCCUACGGGAGGCAGCAGUAGGGAAUCUUCCGCAAUGGGCGAAAGCCUGACGGAGCAACGCCGCGUGAGUGAUGAAGGUCUUCGGAUCGUAAAACUCUGUUAUUAGGGAAGAACAAAUGUGUAAGUAACUAUGCACGUCUUGACGGUACCUAAUCAGAAAGCCACGGCUAACUACGUG